GAAGUACUCCCUCCGUCCGAAAAUACUUGUCAUCAAAAUGGAUAAAAAGAGAUGUAUCUAGAACUAAAAUACAUCUAGAUACAUCUUCUUUUAUCCAUUUUGAUGACAAGUAUUUCCGGACGGAGGGAGUACAAA
rnacentral:pre_miRNA from 1 species